GAGUUUGAUCCUGGCUCAGGAUGAACGCUGGCGGCGUGCUUAACACAUGCAAGUCGAACGAAACACCUUAUUUGAUUUUCUUCGGAACUGAAGAUUUGGUGAUUGAGUGGCGGACGGGUGAGUAACGCGUGGGUAACCUGCCCUGUACAGGGGGAUAACAGUCAGAAAUGGCUGCUAAUACCGCAUAAGCGCACAGAACCGCAUGGUUCGGUGUGAAAAACUCCGGUGGUAUAAGAUGGACCCGCGUUGGAUUAGCUAGUUGGCAGGGCAGCGGCCUACCAAGGCGACGAUCCAUAGCCGGCCUGAGAGGGUGAACGGCCACAUUGGGACUGAGACACGGCCCAGACUCCUACGGGAGGCAGCAGUGGGGAAUAUUGCACAAUGGGGGAAACCCUGAUGCAGCGACGCCGCGUGAAGGAAGAAGUAUCUCGGUAUGUAAACUUCUAUCAGCAGGGAAGAUAAUGACGGUACCUGACUAAGAAGCCCCGGCUAACUACAAGCCGAGCCGCCGCGGUAAUAC
rnacentral:rRNA from 1 species